CCCAGACACUAUCAUUUCAAGGUGGUAUGAUCCAGUGGCCAUUGAAGUCAAUAGGAGCCUUUCCAUUGACAUCAGCUGGAACUGGACCAGGCCCAUGGGACCUCUUCUGUGGUAGUAGUGUGUAAUCUCCCCCUCACAGCCUCUCACCCCACUUUUACGUAGCAUCCUAAACCCGCUGCUCUUGCAAAGGCAUUUGUAGCUGAACUACUGUUAUUUAUUAUUUGCAUUGUGGUAGCGCACAGAAGUCUCAGUCAAGGGGCAGGACCCCACCAUACGGGGCCGAAAGGCAGAACUCUAGUGUCAUAUUGAUUAUCUCCCUGCUACCCCAGUCUAUCCUUUCCUUGCCCUUUGUUUCAGAAACCCUCCUGGACUUUUAUUUGUUGAGAUUUCAGGGUGCAGGCCAACGCCCCGUGAAGAAAAUGAGUCUUUGCUGUGAGAUGAAGAGGGGUUGGAUCAAGUCCUUGGGGAAUGUCCUCUUUUUAAAGUUGAAUAUAUUUUAAAUUGGCUACAACUACCGCAUGGAACUUCCAGUGGGCUGGAGGGCGGGUGCUUUGCCAAUAUCAGAUUGAUUAUUAAUCUGUCGCGAGCCUGUGUGUGUGUGUGUGUGAGAGAGAGAACUGGUUUCCCCAAGCCCCCCUGCACGCAAUAAUAGCAUCCAUAUGAAGAAAAACGAGGGAACUGGCAUAAUCAGAGAAACAUCAGCUGCAAAGCGUGAGGAAAAUGUGCUUUACACAGGAGACGUGGCCUGUCUAGGGUUUCGGAUCUGGUUAAUGACACUGUAAAUUAAGCCUGUCAUCUUUAGAAAUGAUUUUUCUUUCAGCUUGGGCUUAAGAAAACAACAACAACCUUCCAAAAAUGAGAUUCCACAGGAACCGACCUCCCUCCUUCCCACGAAAGAACCAUCGUGAUGGGGUCACAAUGGACUCCACCGUUCCCUCUGAAGAUGACACCCUGGGAGACCAUGACCAGACCCAGCAGUGAGCGACUGAACCCCGCGGUAAAAAGCGGCCCUUUCUCAAUGGGAUUGUCUUUCCUACAUGUAGCGGAUGAAGUCGAGACAGCCUCCUUCAGCAAUUUCCCCUCCAGAAUAAUCCUAAUCUCCUUAAAAGGGAACCAAAGGACAUUCUGGCUUUUAAGAUUCAGUCAAGAUGACUUUUUUUUUUUAAACCAAACCAACUAAGUUUGGGGCACUUUGCUGCUGGCGCUGACAGACAAAACGAAACAGAGAAGGGUGACACAGAUAACAGCGUCGUGUAAGCCACCUUCUGGCGAUGUCCAUUCGUACUGUAUUGUCAUGUCUGUAAUGCUUUUCAGAUUGUGUAUUUCAAAAACGCAUUCCAGAGUAAUGUUUGACAUGCCGGCCUUGGAACAAUAGCUCUGUACAGGCAACAGAGAGCAUUGUUUUUAAGUGACUGGCUCAGCUCCUCCAGUCUUCCACCAGCUGCUGGCUUCUUACUCUUUUUAAUAGAGUUUUAUAUGGGCCUGAUUUAGAAACCCAGGUGUGAGGACACAGAGGUGUUGCUAUGGAGUAAAGAUGGUCACGUUUUUUUAUUUGAAAUUUUUUGGAUGCAAAAAUGGCCUUUUAUCCCCACCACCAAAAAUAAAACCAAACUCAAACCACCUGCA
rnacentral:lncRNA from 1 species